rnacentral:rRNA from 1 species
AUGUUGGCCGGGCGACGGUUGUCCCGGUUUAAGCGUGUAGGCUGGUUUUCCAGGCAAAUCCGGAAAACUAAGGCUGAGGCGUGAUGACGAGGCACUACGGUGCUGAAGCAACAAAUGCCCUGCUUCCAGGAAAAGCCUCUAAGCAUCAGGUAACAUCAAAUCGUACCCCAAACCGACACAGGUGGUCAGGUAGAGAAUACCAAGGCGCUUGAGAGAACUCGGGUGAAGGAACUAGGCAAAAUGGUGCCGUAACUUCGGGAGAAGGCACGCUGAUAUGUAGGUGAAGUCCCUCGCGGAUGGAGCUGAAAUCAGUCGAAGAUACCAGCUGGCUGCAACUGUUUAUUAAAAACACAGCACUGUGCAAACACGAAAGUGGACGUAUAC